AUUGUUGUUGGAAAAAUUUGUUUUUUAAUAAAAAGAUAAAAUCUGUUCUUAUCAGUUUAAUAUCUGAUAUGUCCCCUAUCUGGGGACCAUAUAUUAAAUGGAUUUUUUGGAACAGGGAGAUGGAAGAAGAGCUUGCUCUGUCCACUCCACGCAUUGACCUGGUAUUGCAGUACCUCCAGGACCGGUGCACCCCUC